rnacentral:rRNA from 1 species
GAUGAACGCUGGCGGCGUGCUUAACACAUGCAAGUCGAACGGACGGACGCGAAUCUUGCUGCUCUCAUGUGAGCGGCGGACGGGUGAGUAACACGUGGAUAACCUACCUAUAAGACUGAGAACACUACGGGAAAGCGGAUAUAACACCGGAUGAUCUUUUGAACCGCAGGGUUCAAAAGAGAAUGACGGUCUUGCUGGCACUAAUAGAUGUAUCCGCGCUGGUUUAGCUAGUUGGUAAGGUAACGGCUUACCAAGGCAAGGAUGCAUAGCCGACCUGCGAGGGUGAUAGGCCACACUGGAACUGGGACACGGCCCAGACUCCUACGGGAGGCAGCAGUAGGGAAUGUUCCGCAAUGGGCGAAAGCCUGACGGAGCAACCCCGCGUGAGUGAUGAAGGCCUUCGGAUCGUAAAGCUCUGUUAUUAGGGAAGAACAGAUGUGGAAUUAACUGUGGAGAGAUUGACGGUACCUGAUCAGAAAGCACCGGCUAACUACGUG